GUGAGGAAUAUUGGUCAAUGGACGAGAGUCUGAACCAGCCAAGUCGCGUGAAGGAAGACGGUUCUAUGAAUUGUAAACUUCUUUUGUGCAGGAAUAAAGUGGGUUACGUGUAACCUUUUGUAUGUACUGUACGAAUAAGGAUCGGCUAACUCCGUGCCAGCAGCCGCGGUAAUACGGAGGAUCCGAGCGUUAUCCGGAUUUAUUGGGUUUAAAGGGUGCGUAGGUGGAUUGAUACGUCAGCGGUGAAAGUUUGCAGCUUAACGGUAAAAUUGCCGUUGAAACUGUCGGUCUUGAGUGCCAAUGAGGUAGGCGGAAUGUGUUGUGUAGCGGUGAAAUGCUUAGAUAUAACACAGAACUCCGAUUGCGAAGGCAGCUUACUGGGAUGCAACUGACACUGAUGCACGAAAGCGUGGGUAUCAAACAGGAUUAGAAACCCGGGUAGUCC
rnacentral:rRNA from 1 species